rnacentral:lncRNA from 12 species
UUCCAUGAGCAUGUCUAGCACUCAUGUGACUACCUGAGAAACUGCUUAUCCAGUGAACGAAAAGGUCAAUUCAUUAAAACGAAUAACUAAAUAUUUAAUUCACAAAUGACUGGCAUUGCAGGUUUAGUCCCUAGAAAUACAGGACAAACAUAAUAACUGCUAAAAUAUCUGUAGAGUUUUAUUUGGCACAGCGAUUAUACCCAAAUCACACUCAGCUUCAGAGAGCAUCUCAUCUGCUGUCGGUUGGAGGAAGCUUUGUGCCGCGUCAGAGUGUUUUGAAGGGACUCUGAGGGAUUCUGUGCAUUGCUCAUACAUCAUUCUCACCUCAUGAACAACACCUGAGUCUGCAGGGACACUCCUGGACACCAGACGCACUGCAGCGAUGGAUAUACAGUACACUGAGCCUUAGUAUCCAACCUCCAAAGUUACUACUCACAAAACUGUUAGCAUGACAUUAUAAUAUUUAGUCUUCUUAAAUUAAUUAUAGAUGAAAAAUAAUAUUUUCUGUUUCCAUAUUCUACAUUUAUAGAAGCAAUAGCGUCUGAAAUGAUGCAUCUGAACACAUAAUUUGUUCUGGCUCCACCGUGGCUCCUCCCUCCGCUGGCUCCACUGAGUCUGAGUAAUGAUUAUCAUUCCUGUGUUUAUGUUCAUGUUGCUGUUUGGACUCAGACUCUCCAAGAUUAGUUUUUCCCCCUCCUGUGUUAUUCAGGGUGUUUAAGAGUGAAAAUGUAAUCAGGCAAAAGCCACAAGCUCAGUGAAGAAAACAUUACAACAACAUACAUGCAUCCAUGCAAAUCACACUUUUGGUCCUGUGGACUUUUAGUAUUUAAGUACAUAAGCUCUCUUUAAAGUCACCUUCCACUCUCUCUUUCUGACGGCACCCAUUCACUGCAGUGCAUCCAUUGCUGAGCAAGAGAUGCAAUGCUACAUUUCUCCAAACCUGAUGAAAACAACAAACUCACCUAUAUCUUCAGCGGCUUGAGGGUGGUGAGGGCGCUACACAAACAGGUCAGAGAAGCAAAGAAUCUGUCCGUCUCACUAGGUGUAUGUUUUCAACAUCGCAGUGGAGUAGAAGUUGCUUACAGUGUUGUUGCACUUUCAACAUGAUGACAAGCUUAGCGAUGGCUUCAGGAUAUCUGUACUAAGAUCAAGAAGAUGAACAUGGGACAGAGGAGGCUCAGAAUCAGUGGGAAUCACAGGUUUACCAGCUUUCCAAAACACCAGGUUUUAACAUGCGUGAUGUGUCUCCUGAAACCAAUUGUGAAUGGAUUUUGUUGACCUUAAAGGGAUAGUUAACCCCCCAAAAUAACAAUCUGUCAUCAUUUACUCAUCCCCAAGUUGUUCCAAACCUGUAUGAGUUCUUCUGUUGAACACAAAAUAUGAUAUUUUGAAGAAUGUUGUUAACCAAACAGUUAAUGGUAGCCAUUGACUUCCAUAGAAUUUUUAUUAUUUUUCUCCAUACUAUGGAAAUCGAUAGGUGAACUAUCCCUUUAAUAGUGUUGCAGAGAUUAUGUAUUUUUGUAGGCCAAAACCUGGAAACAAGUUUGCAUUUUACCACUUCUGCUUCCAUCGUCCUUAAAGUCAGUGUUUUUUUGGUUAAAUACCUGAAAUAAGGUCUGUGAUGAACACAGGUUCAAGAUAUUUUAUUCUACGACAUAAAAUACACCAGUAACUGUAACCCCACUGUGAUUUUUCAUAUGUUAUAACUUGUCUUGAACAAGGAGUCUGCUAACCAGUGUCUACUUAAACAUCACAGAGAACAGGUAAACUCAUCUACUCACUAAUCGUUUUCACAGUCUCAUAUUGUUAAUAAUCUUGCAAACUAUUCUAACCCAAAAUUUCAGAGGAAAUGUUUUUUAAAUAAAGACUGAAAGAGUUGUCAGAAGAUGGCCGGAAGAUGGUGACGCUCAAGUCAUGUGACUGUGGUGUAGUUUAUUUCUAUUCACCCAACAGAAAGAUUUAAGAUUUUAGCUUUAACUUAAAUCGUAUAGAAGAAGCAUGACCUGAAAGCACAUCGACUAAAUAGGGGCUACAUUUACAUGACAACAAUUGCACUAGGAACAGAAAAGUUUUUUCUUUGCAUUUUUUAAAAGUUUUGCUUACAGAUGACAAUGUUGUCAAAAUGAUCUCCAUUCACACAGUUCUACGAAAACAACUAAAAAUGCUGCGUUAUGCAUGCCAUGCCAGAUGGUGAUGUCUAUGCACAUGCUUGUAGACUAAACACAUAAUAUUCACACACAUGACAUCAACAUUUUCACAAACUGUAGUUUACACAAUACGAUAACGGUCUCCAAAACACCAAUGUUGUUUAAAUGAAUGGCCAAAACACAUAAAAAGUUUUCUGUUUUUUUGUUGAAAACUGUGUCGUGUAAAUUCUCCUUUAAAUGUAAAUGCUUUAAUUGUCUGAUCCUCAAUGCCUAAUAAUUACACUCUCAGAGAAAAAAAAAGGUACAAAGCUGUCACUGGCACAUUAUGGUACAACAGCUAAAAGUUACAUAUUUGUAUCUUAUUUACCCUUACAGGUACAUAUUAGUACUUUAUAAGUACAUAUUAGUACCUAAAAUGUACAUAUUUGUGCCUUUUGAAAGGGUACCACCAUUAUAGUUUUGUCCCCCCUUGUUCAGUAAUACAACCCUUAAAGACUUCCUUGAACUUGUUGAAAUGAAAAGGCUCUAAGAUUCAGAAUAAUCUGAAUAAACCUCAGGACUCAGAAAGUAGGUUUCUUCCGCAGCCCUGCUGUGUCUUUAGUAGCGUUCAUUACGCUCUGCUCUCACGCUGGUGACACACACAGGGGACGGUACACUUGUGCAGACCUGAUAAUUACUCCCUUCCAGACCCCGACUGAGCUCAGCUGAGGCCAGAGCAAAGCAGCAGAGCUUAUCUCCAUAAUGAAGAACAGCUGCUCUCCAUCAGAACAAGAACAAAAGCCUUGCUAAUGAUACAGACAGAUAAUCAGAUGCGGCAUGCUGAUAUGCAUACUUCUCGAUUAUAUAUAGCAGCUGAAAACAGUAUAUGAAAAUAAUAUGAUGUUGAAGUCACAGUAUUAAAAAAAAAAACAAUACCCUGAUUCGAUUUCCAGUGAGACUGUGAAGUCAAGUCAAGUCAGGUCACCUUUAUUUGUAUAGCGCUUUAUACAAUACUGGUUGUGUCAAAGCAGCUUUACAGUGUCAAACAGGAAAAUAGUUUGUCAAUGAUACAAGAAGAGAGUCAUAUUUUCCAGCUAAAGUCAGUUCAUUGAUGAUUCAGUGAUGUCAUCAUCCAGUUCAGCUCUCUUCCAAUAGUGUCUGUGCAAUCAGUCAAGCGUCCUCAACUAAGCAAGCCAAAGGCCACAGCGGCAAGGAACCAAAACUCCAUCGAUGACAGAAAUGGAGAAAAACCUUGGGAGAAACCAGACUCAGUCGGGGGCCAGUUCUCCUCUGACCAGACGAAACCAGCAUGAUGUGGUUUAAUUCCAGCCUGCAACACAGGUGCAGAGGACUCAGCUGGUUCCUGUCUUGUCUCACACAUUCAUACUAUAUAGAACAUAGUUUUUAAAGACCGGCUAUUCAAAAGAAGUACCUUCUAAGUGAGUAUGUGAUUUGAGACACACCCAUAGAUAAGUAAGCAUCUGCUUAUGUAAACUCAUUGUGUGUUUGCUUUUAAAUGUCUCUUUUUACGUUUACUAUCAUGAGGACAUAUGGGCGAGUGUAGCUUCAGGUCCAAAGGAUCACCAAAAAAUCAAAUGACACAUCAUUUGUUUUUAUUUUUCUCUAUAAACAAACAAAAUAUAAAAUGUUUAUUUUUGUAUCAUUAUUGUAUUGAUUACCCUCCUCCCCAAACUCACAACAUGUGCCAGUCACAAUGAUGUAUAGAUUAAACAGACCAGAUCAAAUACAAAUAUAUAAAAAAUAAAAACAGUAAAAUAAAAAUGUUCUAAAUAUAUGACAUAAAUUCUUAUUCAGCUGCAAAACACCAUGUAAAUCCACACAUAACCACAUAACAGUAAUUAAUGAAUUUUAUGAACACUGAUAUAUUAUAGUAUUUUGAAUUAGAUUUUAUUUUUAUAUAUUCUGCUUUCAUUUUAAUUUUAGUUAAAGGUUUAGCAUGUGUUGUGUUUUCACCCAGUAGUUCCUGUUUCUCUCUCUCUCUUUCUCUCUCAAUAUGUCUAUAUAGCCUAGUUUUUUUGUUUGUUUGUUUCAGUUUUAGUUAUUUAAUACAUCAAGUUAAACCAAAUGAAAAUGAGAAAUGUUGCCUUGGAAAGAAUUUGAAAUAAAUAGUUUUUUUUUUUUUCAGUUAACAUUUAUUUUAUUUCAAGUAAACUGGAUAUCACACACUAAACGACUGAGAAUCACACACUUCCACUCUCUCAGGUUAUUCUGCACAACAAACUCAUGCAGAAACAUGUGUCUUGUUUCUUAACAAAAGUGUUGUCAUGAAAGCGGUGUGGUACUCAAACACACAUGAUUAAUGCCUACUAUAUAAACUGUCUUUAAUGACUAAAAUCAGAAUACAUAGAUAAUAAAACAGAGAAAACACAAUAACGAAAUGAGAACUAAACUGAAUAUAAUCCUGACACACGUUUGAUCCUCCGACAGGAUGGACUCAAAAUCUGAAGAUAAAAAUCUGAGUCUGUGUCCAUCAUACAACACGAUUUUCUGUGAAAUCUGUCAACUCUGACCGUCCAGAAUCUGCAGACUGAUGUACAUCAGCUAGUGUCG